AGUGAACGCUGGCGGUAGGCCUAACACAUGCAAGUCGAACGGCAGCACAGUAAGAGCUUGCUCUUACGGGUGGCGAGUGGCGGACGGGUGAGGAAUACAUCGGAAUCUACUUUUUCGUGGGGGAUAACGUAGGGAAACUUACGCUAAUACCGCAUACGACCUACGGGUGAAAGCAGGGGAUCUUCGGACCUUGCGCGAUUGAAUGAGCCGAUGUCGGAUUAGCUAGUUGGCGGGGUAAAGGCCCACCAAGGCGACGAUCCGUAGCUGGUCUGAGAGGAUGAUCAGCCACACUGGAACUGAGACACGGUCCAGACUCCUACGGGAGGCAGCAGUGGGGAAUAUUGGACAAUGGGCGCAAGCCUGAUCCAGCCAUACCGCGUGGGUGAAGAAGGCCUUCGGGUUGUAAAGCCCUUUUGUUGGGAAAGAAAAGCAGCAGGUUAACACCCCGCUGCUCUGACGGUACCCAAAGAAUAAGCACCGGCUAACUUCGUG
rnacentral:rRNA from 1 species